rnacentral:lncRNA from 1 species
UACUCCUCGUUUUUUUUUCAUCCACGAACUUAACGUUUUGCUUCUGUUCAGUAUGACCCGGAUAUAGAGAAGUCGCGAACCUUCAACUAUCAGCGAGGAAACGCCUUCACUAAGGUCAGCCGGUGGCUCAAGCCGCUCACCAGAGGACUCAGGACGCUGCAGGUGCACUACGCACACGCCAACGCUGAGCACAACGACCGGCUCAUCUUCGCGCAUUUACUUCGCGCGGCGCACGUGCGCAACGCUGCCGUGGAAGAAGGGGUGUACGUCACGGAGAGACGGCUUUACGCCCGUCGCCAUGACAACACGCCGCACGCUACCACCUUCUACAACACCGAUGACGUCAUCAAACGCGCGCUGAAGCGCGGCUCACGUGCCGCCGCAGACAGACACAACACGAAGCCAUGAGUUCUGAAGGAGGAGGCAUGAAUUACAUGUCAGCAACGCUGUCUUUGGGAAAUGAUUCCCGACGAUAUCAACCUGCUGAUGGACCACUGUUGGCAUCUCGGGGUGAAUCCUGCUCAUCAUCAGCGUCUGUGCACUGGAAAUAGGUUCUUGCACUUCCAGAAAACAGGCGACAAACUCUAGGAAACUACAGGCUGCCUGAGGCAGGGACUGGGACAGGCACUAUAAAAACUUCAGGCUCUAUGGAAUGUGGAAAGCUAUGAGCUCCCAGAGAACAUAGGACAAGCUGGAAAACAAUUGGUUUGAUCAGUGGCGAUUUCACAGAAAUUGUAAAUUUCUCAAGAAACUGUAGUGAAGUGGGCCCACAAAACCAAUGACCAGAACAAUAACAUCAUUUGGAUGCUUACAGAAAUGAUGGCAGUAGUGGUGGAAUAAACAACCUAUUAACACAGGAUAUGGUUGACCACAAAACCAAUACAUGCCUGUCGCCUAUCUUACACAGCAACAACAGAUCGAAAUUUUUGUUCUGUUAUCUAAGACAAAGAAUAGCGGACAGCCGGACAAAAUGCAAAUGCUAUGUAAACUUGUGUGUGUGUGUGUGUGCUUUUGAAGUUAAUGUGUAAGGACACAAGUUCUUUAGAGGCCACCAUAAUAGAACAGCACCAAAACACAAAAUGUGCCAGAUACAAUAUAUAAUCAACAAACGUUUAUUUUGGUCUUUUGAAAGCUACCUGAUGCUUAACAUGCCUAAAAAAAAAUUCCUGAGUAAAUACCAGUGACAAUAGUAUGUAAACCAACAGUAUAAAUGCUUUGUCAUAUCAUAAAUUGAUUGGUCAUUAAGGGCCAAACUUUUAGUUCAUGGCAGGAAAGAAUGGUUAGACCCCCAGGGAGGGAGAUAAGGUGCACACAUGGUGCCGGCUACCCAAGUGAUCAUUCUUCGCUAAUGCUUCCAUCUAGCCCGAAAAGUACUCUCCCCUCCCUCUGCUGGAUUGAAUCCAUUCUUUCAUGCUGUGGACUGAAAGUUCAGCCUUUAAACGACAUUCUAUGUAGCAAAAUACAACAUCCAAAUAAAAAAGUACAACAGCCUAUGUACCAUGUAUUGUCUAUGACAAAUCACCAUUACUAUUUUCAAAACAUCCACUGAUUGUAAGGGGAGAUGGGAGAUGUCAUGGUUUUGACAAUAAAGCAAAAAAUUACAUGGUCCUCAAAAGA